rnacentral:rRNA from 1 species
ACCGAGCCGGUCACGCGAAAGUUAUAGGUACGAUCGGACUUGGCAUCAAUAUCGACCGUGGUCUGAUCAAAAACCGCGGGCGCCAUCUGCGAAGCCACGAGACGCUGCCAGAUGAGCUUGUAAACCUUGAACUCAUCGUCUUUCAAGAACGGCUUCAGGUUAUCGGGCGUCCGGGCAACAGAGGACGGACGAAUCGCUUCGUGUGCGCCUGCGCAUCCUUCUUCUGCUUGAACUGGUUGGGUGACUCCGGCAAGAAUUCUUCGCCGUAUGUGCUGCCUACCAAUUCGCGCACCUCGGUCAACGCGGUCG